rnacentral:rRNA from 1 species
CGGCGGCCCGAGUGGUAAUCACUUUUAUUGGGUCUAAAGGGUCCGUAGCCGGUUUGAUCAGUUCUUCGGGAAAUCUGACAGCUCAACUGUUAGGCUUCCGGGGAAUACUGUCAGACUUGGGACUGGGAGAGGUAAGAGGUACUACAGGGGUAGGAGUGAAAUCUUGUAAUCCCUGUGGGACCACCAGUGGCGAAGGCGUCUUACCAGAACGGGUCCGACGGUGAGGGACGAAAGCUGGGGGCACGAACCGGAUUAGAUACCCGUGUAGUCC